UACGUAGGUGGCAAGCGUUAUCCGGAUUUACUGGGUGUAAAGGGCGUGUAGGCGGGAGUGCAAGUCAGACGUGAAAUUCCAGGGCUCAACCCUGGAACUGCGUUUGAAACUGUUCUUCUUGAGUGAUGGAGAGGCAGGCGGAAUUCCGUGUGUAGCGGUGAAAUGCGUAGAUAUACGGAGGAACACCAGUGGCGAAGGCGGCCUGCUGGACAUUAACUGACGCUGAGGCGCGAAAGCGUGGGGAGCAAACAGG
rnacentral:rRNA from 1 species